rnacentral:misc_RNA from 1 species
AUAACGGCGUAGUAGGUCCACUGAUCAAUGGUUUCGUACACACACAGCGGAAUACACACGAUGGAAGAACUGCACGUAUUUGGAUAUGGCUCUCUUAUGUGGAAACCCGACUUUCAUUAUACCACAAGGGAACAUGGCUAUAUUCGUGGAUACCAAAGAAGAUUCUGGCAAAGCAACACAGAACAGAGGGGCACAGACCAAAAGGUAAACAAGCCGUGUGUUCUUUAUACGACGCAAUAUUAUUUCUAACCACUUUUUAUUACAAUUACUACAAUAUUGCUUUGUACAUUUUUUUUGUUUAUAUGAAGGCAAUCAUAAUAUAUUGAAAACUUGUAAUAACUUGGAGAACGAUACAUGUAUAAAAUAAUUCAUUGAUUAUGUUCUGUCACUGAGAAAGGCAAGUACGCAAUUUAAAGGUACUAUUAAUAAUAGUGCAAUAUUGAUGUAGUGCACUUUACUUCCAAAGCACUUUUCAUUCUAAUAAAUGUUCCUUAUUAUUACAGCCUGGAAGAGUAGCUACUUUGAUCAAAACAGACGCACAGGUACGGACAGAAAAACAUUGCAUCAUUUCUCCUUCGCACAUGUACUCAUUCUAAUAAUAGCAACUAUUUACCUAUUCCACCAACCAAAUAGCGCGUUGUGAUAAAUGAGGAAUGCCACGUAUUGUUUUAAACACUCGUUGCUUAUUAUUUACAUUUCUAAUUACAGGAUUGUCUUUGGGGAGUGAAGUUCACGGUGAAAGGUGCGAAAAAAGUGGCACAGGUCUUAGAAAAACUGAGUGUGCGGGAAAAAUUACUCGGCAGUUAUGUGACAAUCACAACGGAGUUUUACGGCAAAAACGCGAGUCCUUGUGACGUGUUAGUGUACAUGGCAACAGUAAGGAACCCCCUGUACGUGGGGCCCGUGUCCGAGAAUGAGGACACAGACUUAGAGUGUAUUGCUGACACUGUGGUGCGGACACGUGGGACUGCCGGUCCAAACUCAGAAUAUGUGACACGGUUAGCGGAUUAUAUCCGGAAACACAUACCCGAGGAGAGAGACGAGCAUUUGUUUAACCUGGACAAUAAGAUCAAAAAUAAGAUUAUUUAUAUUCAUGAAUACAGACAUCAGGGUUAGCUAAUAAAUUAAUGUAAAAGU